UAUCCCCUUCUUUCACGGUCCCUCUGCCUUCAUCUCUCCGCAUCUUUAUCAUCUCACGUCGCCGGCUGCCUCACGGCGCAACACGCUUUCCCUCCGCCUUCACUUCCUUCAACGGCCCCUGUGUGCCUUGCCGCGGGAUCCUGAGCGCGCAGCCACGACCUGCCCUGAGAAGUCGCUGGCCAUGCCACCUCGCCAUCACCAUGUGGAAUUUGGGAGGAGACCAGGGCUCCAAAAGUUGGGAAAUCAGAUUCGUUGGCUUUUUUCCAUCCUAUUUCCUUCCAGCAAGUCUACCGAAGUACUGAUUGGUGUCUUUGCUCAUUCAUUUGGUAAUAAUUCGUACUAAACAUCAGAUUAGUGGCCACGGCUCGACUUGCAACAGAUGCAUCCAACAGCGGCGCCCAUGAAGAACAACCCAGCAGGGGCGAGGCAUAGGACGAAGCAGUGGGCGAACAAGUGGCUCUACGAGGCGAGGCCAGGUGGAGGAUAGACACGACACAAGUUCCUUCCAUAUAGGUAGUGGUUUCUUCUCGACUGCCUCGGGCUCGAGCUGCCGCGACUAUGACGCCAUACACAGUAUCGCUGCAGCUGCCUCCAUCAAGUCCAGGUACUAAAAUUGACUGAUUGGAGCAUGCGCACAUAUUCAUUGUUCCAUCUCUUAACAAGAAGCAAGCUGUUCCCAUUCAAUUUAGUUUCUAUGUGCCCUCCAGUGUCACCAUCUGUACGUAGCCUCUCACAAUCUAUUCUUGUUGAAGACCUUGAUGCAUACACAAGGAGUCAAGGAUUGUAAAUUCUUUUGUAUGGAGGUCACUUUAUUCUUUCGUGCUUUUGGGGGACUGAUUAUAAAUAUUGCAUGCUAGCUGGUAAAUAAAACAACUCACCAAUUUUAAAGUGAUGUGCCACUUGGUGCAGGCUAACUCUGAAAAUAUUUCUAAUUUUUAUUUUCUAACUGAAACUUACUGCUUUCCACACAACGCUCCAAUCUGAAGGUAUGAGCAUACUUAUAUUUCUGAGUUGAGUCAUAUAUAUGUUUUACUGCAAACCAUGCUAUCUCACUUCCUUUUUUGUUGAAAUUCCACAAUACUUAUUCUACACUUCCCUUUGUGCAAUUGUUCCAUGUAGAUUUUGGUAAAGAGAUAUAUUAUGGAUGCAUAAAUUCAUCAUUCUGGAGUUUAUUUCAUUGGUUGAUGUCAGAUCACUAAAACUGAAUAACAUUCUAGAAAUUACAAACCUUUUUACAGGACAAAAUUUAUGAACACUAUAGUGUCUUCAGAUAAGGAUUUAAGUUUCCCGAUCAUUAGCGUGUUACAUUUGCCCAUUUUAUUUGCUGACUAAAGAGUGCCCCACGUCACAAGCUUACUCGAAAUAUCAGAAAGAUACCAGUGUGUAAGGACUAUCUAGAUACACACGAGAGAUCCCAAAGAAAUCAAUGAAGGUCUAUUGAUUGAUCUAAUUUUCCCUAAUAGAUUGUGUUUACGGAAAAUUAUCAACUCUGAACCAUUAGAGAAGGCAAUGCUAUUAUCAACUCAAUGCAACUCAUGUGCUUCGUUUUCCUUUUUAGGAUCACAUUUGCCAAGGUCUUAUUAUCGUGUAUUGCUGAAGAUGUCCAAUGAAAUUACUUUGUAGAAGUGUAGAAGUUUGCUUAAAGGAAUGCCAUCCGUAAUCUUCUUUGUUGUUCAUCAUAUCUUAUAUUAAUUAAUGCUAAUUCAAGAUGAAUGGUUCUUCUUUGGAUAACAGAAGUAUCUUGAUAUUUACCUAUCGCUUUUGUCUUCAUUUUUCAGUUUCCUUUCGGCGAUAUUUAUGUGUUAAUAUUCGGCAUUACUUCAACAUGUAUGCAUAUCGCUGCUGACUCUCCUCAAUGCUGUCUACUAUGAGGAAAAUAUAGGAAGGUGAACAUAUCUUUACUGCCACACCUAUAUACAUGAUAUCCAAUUAUAUUUCUUAUAUCCCUAUUUCUCUAACCGAUGCCAUUUUCGUUAAAUGCAAUGCACUAAUAAGUUGAUUAGUUUGUUAAUGUUUCUGUAGAGUUGUGUUAUGUAAUCCACAAUAUUAGUCUCAAGAGGGGCUUCCAGAUAAAACAUGUAACAACAUAGAAGUUUACAAGGUGAAGCCCUCAUGAUUCUAUGAGACGGAUGGCAUUUGCAUGACAUUUGCUUACCUCCUGCUGUGGGAUGGAUCAAAGUAGAUGUACACAUGUGUUCAAGACUCAGGCCUAUAGUUUUGUGAUGAUGUUAUAGUUGUAGCUUGAAAGAUUUCUUCCAUUGCAAAAGCUGAGAUGUUAGCCUAUAUUGGAGCUUUAAAACAGUUGGUUCCACGUGCAAAUGACCAUAUAUAUAAACCUCUAUUUUGAU